rnacentral:rRNA from 1 species
AGAGUUUGAUCCUGGCUCAGGACGAACGCUGGCGGCGCGCCUAACACAUGCAAGUCGAACGAGCGAGAGAGAGCUUGCUUUCUCGAGCGAGUGGCGAACGGGUGAGUAACGCGUGAGGAACCUGCCUCAAAGAGGGGGACAACAGUUGGAAACGACUGCUAAUACCGCAUAAGCCCACGGGUCGGCAUCGACCAGAGGGAAAAGGAGCAAUCCGCUUUGAGAUGGCCUCGCGUCCGAUUAGCUAGUUGGUGAGGUAAUGGCCCACCAAGGCGACGAUCGGUAGCCGGACUGAGAGGUUGAACGGCCACAUUGGGACUGAGACACGGCCCAGACUCCUACGGGAGGCAGCAGUGGGGAAUAUUGCACAAUGGGGGAAACCCUGAUGCAGCGACGCCGCGUGGAGGAAGAAGGUCUUCGGAUUGUAAACUCCUGUUGUUGAGGAAGAUAAUGACGGUACUCAACAAGGAAGUGACGGCUAACUACGUGCCAGCAGCCGCGGUAAAACGUAGGUCACAAGCGUUGUCCGGAAUUACUGGGUGUAAAGGGAGCGCAGGCGGGAAGACAAGUUGGAAGUGAAAUCUAUGGGCUCAACCCAUAAACUGCUUUCAAAACUGUUUUUCUUGAGUAGUGCAGAGGUAGGCGGAAUUCCCGGUGUAGCGGUGGAAUGCGUAGAUAUCGGGAGGAACACCAGUGGCGAAGGCGGCCUACUGGGCACCAACUGACGCUGAGGCUCGAAAGUGUGGGUAGCAAACAGGAUUAGAUACCCUGGUAGUCCACACCGUAAACGAUGAUUACUAGGUGUUGGAGGAUUGACCCCUUCAGUGCCGCAGUUAACACAAUAAGUAAUCCACCUGGGGAGUACGACCGCAAGGUUGAAACUCAAAGGAAUUGACGGGGGCC